GCCUGGGUGGCUCAGUCAGUUGAGCGUCUGACUUCAGCUCAGGUCAUGAUCUCGCGAUCUGUGGGUUCGAGCCCCGCGUCGGGCU
rnacentral:tRNA from 1 species